UAACCCCAUAUCUCAGAGCAUGUCUAUA
rnacentral:piRNA from 1 species